rnacentral:rRNA from 1 species
CCUACGGGGGACAGCAGUGGGGAAUAUUGCACAAUGGGGGAAACCCUGAUGCAGCGACGCCGCGUGAGUGACGAAGUAUUUCGGUAUGUAAAGCUCUAUCAGCAGGGGAGAACCUGACGGUACCUGAAUAAGAAGCCCCGGCUACCUACGUCCCAGCAGCCGCUGUAAUACGUAGGGGGCAAGCGUUACACGGAUGUACUGGGUGGAAAGGGAGCGUAGACGGCAGGACAAGGAUGGAGUGAAAUGCCGGGGCUUAACCCCGGAACUGCUGUUGAAACUGUGCAGCUAGAGUGCAGGAGAGGUAAGUGGAAUGCCUAGUGUAGCGGUGAAAUGCGUAGAUAUGAGGAGGAACACCAGUGGCGAAGGCGGCUUACUGGACUGUAACUGACGUUGAGGCUCGAAAGCGUGGGGAGCAAACAGGAUUAGAUACCCGAGUAGUC